rnacentral:ncRNA from 1 species
AAGGCCUGAUGUGUGUGAGAUUACCCGCUGAAUUUAAGCAUAUAAGUAAGCGGAGGAAAAGAAACUAACUAGGAUUCCCUUAGUAAUGGCGAAUGAACAGGGAUCAGCUCAGUGCCAAAUCGGAAUCACUUGUGGUUCUGAAAUGUGGCUUGAAGGCAGUACCAGUGGCAUCGCGGACGAAAGUCUCUUGGAAAAGAGCGUCAUAGAGGGUGAGAAUCCCGUGAGUCGUUCGCCGUUUGUCACGUACGGUCUGCGUUCUAACGAGUCGCGUUCCUUGGGAUUGGAGCGUAAACGGGUGGUAAAUUUCAUCCAAAGCAAAAUAUAUACUCGAGACCGAUAGCACAAAAGUACCGUGAGGGAAAGGUGAAAGAACUUUGAGAAGAGGGUUAAAUAGUGCCUGAAAUCGUUGAGAAGGAAGCGGAUGCCGCCGUGCAUAUGCUGAUUGUAGGAUUGCUGCUCGCUCCUGUCUUCUGCUACUCAUUCACA